rnacentral:rRNA from 1 species
GUCUACAGCCAUGCUACCCUGAACAAGCCUGAUCCCGUCUGAUCUCGGAAGCUAAGCAGGGUCAGGCCUGGUUGGUACUUGGAUGGGAGACCACCUAGGAAGACCAGGUACUGUAGGCU